UACGUAGGAGACGAGCGUUGUCCGGAGUUACUGGGCGUAAAGGGCGCGCAGGCGGCCGCCCGCGUGUGUGGUGAAAGCUCCUGGCUUAACUAGGAGAGGUCCAUGCAGAUGGGGCGGCUUGAGCGUCGGAGAGGGGCAUGGAAUUCCGGGUGGAGCGGUGAAAUGCGUAGAGAUCCGGAGGAACACCAAUGGCGAAGGCAGUGCCCUGGCCGACGGCUGACGCUCAGGCGCGAAAGCGUGGGGAGCAAACAGG
rnacentral:rRNA from 1 species